CGGAGGGUGCAAGCGUUAUCCGGAUUCACUGGGUUUAAAGGGUGCGUAGGCGGACAGGUAAGUCCGUGGUGAAAUCCUGCAGCUUAACUGCAGAACUGCCAUGGAUACUAUCUAUCUUGAAUAUCGUGGAGGUUAGCGGAAUAUGUCAUGUAGCGGUGAAAUGCUUAGAUAUGACAUAGAACACCCAUUGCGAAGGCAGCUAACUACGCGAUAAUUGACGCUGAUGCACGAAAGCGUGGGGAUCAAACAGGAUUAGAUACCCUGGUAGUCCACGCCCUAAACGAUGAUUACUCGACAUUGGUGAUACACAGUCAGUGUCUGAGCGAAAGCAUUAAGUAAUCCACCUGGGAAGUACGAUCGCAAGAUUG
rnacentral:rRNA from 1 species